rnacentral:misc_RNA from 1 species
GAUGAAGAACGUAGCGAAAUGCGAUAAAUAAUGUGAAUUGCAGAAUUCAGUGAAUCAUCGAGUCUUUGAACGCACAUUGCGCCCCCUGGUAUUCCGGGGGGCAUGCCUGUCCGAGCGUCAUUUCACCACUCAAGCCUGGCUUGGUGUUGGGCGACGUCCUCUUUGGGGACGCGCCUCGAAACGCUCGGCGGCGUGGCACCGGCUUUAAGCGUAGCAGAAUCUUUCGCUUUGGAAGUCGGGGCCCCGUCUGCCGGAAGACCUGCUCGCAAGGUUGACCUCGGAUCAGGCAGGGAUACCCGCUGAACUUAAGCAUAUCAAUAAGCGGAGGA